rnacentral:rRNA from 1 species
AUGCAGCGGCACCUAAUGGUGACAGUUGUUAAAGCGGGGGAUCGCAAGACCUCGCGUCUGAAGAGGAGCCUGCGGCGGAUUAGCUAGUUGGUAGGGUAAUGGCUUACCAAGGCGAUGAUCCGUAGCCGGCCUGAGAGGGCGGUCGGCCACACUGACACUGACAUACGGGUCAGACUCCUACGGGAGGCAGCAGUCGGGAAUUUUGGGCAAUGGGCGAAAGCCUGACCCAGCAACGCCGCGUGAAGGAUGAAAUCCCUCGGGAUGUAAACUUCGCAAGAACGGGAAGAAUAAGUAAGGGUUAAUAUCUCUUACGAUGACGGUACUGUUUGUAAGCUCCGGCUAACUCCGUGCCAGCAGCCGCGGUAAUACGGGGGGAGCAAGCGUUGUUCGGAUUUACUGGGCGUAAAGGGCGCGUAGGCGGCCACCGCAAGUCAGUUGUGAAAUCUCUGGGCUUAACCCAGAAAGGUCAACUGAUACUGCGGGGCUAGAGUGCAGAAGGGGCAACUGGAAUUCUCGGUGUAGCGGUGAAAUGCGUAGAUAUCGAGAGGAACACCUGCGGCGAAGGCGGGUUGCUGGGCUGACACUGACGCUGAGGCGCG